rnacentral:lncRNA from 1 species
CCGAAACGAACAGGUAGCAUGAACCAAACAACACUGAACAUCAAAUAAUUAAAUGUGGAAAUGUUUUAAUAAACAAAAACAAGUCAACAGUUUUAUAUUGAAAAAUAUUGGAAUUAAUAACUUGAAGUUAAACUUGAAGAAGAGGUAAGACUAAGAUAAAACAAAAAAUGUAGCCAUAAUGUGUGAGAUUUCAUAUUGGAAUAGUACUAUUUGAAUGCUCCUUUUCUUACAUGUAUAAGGGGAUCAAUUUAAAUAGUGUCUUAAAGUGAACAUUGUAAAAAUACACUUAUCUUUUAAGCUGUGGUGAUCUAAUACACAAAAUGGGCUUUACACAUUUGUACAUGUUAUAUGCCUACUGUCAUUUUCGGUUCAUUUUUAAAAUAUAAAAAUUUAAAAUAAAACUUUUUGAUGCACAUUGUUCUAUGAAAAACUACUACAAUUAAAAUAAAAAAUAAGAACUGAACAUGAUAUAUAUUAUAUAGGACUUCACAUUCUUAUUCAUUUUUAGUGUUAAAAUGCUGAGAGAAUCUAAUAUUCAGAUUCAUUAAAUGUACAGGUCUAUAGUUUUUUUACUAUUUUUAUUAAAAUGAAUUACAUAUCUUGUCAAUCUAUAUUUAUAAUAAUACUGAAUAUAUAUAUAACAAAUGUUUUCCAAUGCAAUGUUUUUGUCAUACUCAUUUAUCGUAUGUUUAUACAUGUACAGUACUACAUGUAGUGUAAAAGGAGAUCAAAAUCAGGGGCGGAUGCAGGAAUUUUCGAAAGGGGGGGUGCUAACCCAGGGCAAAGGGGGGGUGCAAAACAUAUGUCCCGAUACAAAUGCAUUGAUCGGCAAAAAUAAAGGGGGGGUGCGCACCCCCGGAACCCCCCUGGAUCCGCCACUGAAAAUAUUUUUUAAAUCAACUAAUUUUGCAGAAAAGGACAUGGGAUCUAUUAUGAAUUUAAUUGUGUCCUAAAUUAGAAGAUAUUCAUCGAAUAUUUGCUACUGGACCUUAAACAAAUGGCAUGAAAAUGAAAUGCCCACUAGUCUACCAGCAGCAUUCAUGCAUUUAGCUAAUGUCCUCUUCAAACAAAAAGGUACUCUUGUAAAUAGACAACUUUCGAGUUCGAUGCAUUUCCGUCAAAAACUCUGGUUUUAGUGAACGUCAUUUGUGCGUUUAGGGGCGUCGUCACUUCCAUUCCAAUGUUGAGCGAGUGGUUGGAAAACUAUAAUUCUAUAUUGUACGAAUUAUUCGGCAAAUUGAAUUCUCAAAAUUGACAAUCAACAUUGCUGUCAUUAGGGAAUUGUCAUUAAGUACCUACAGAACAUCCAUUAUUUCUAGUUUAUCCUGCACAAUGACGAUCACUAAGACGCUCGAUGAACGUAAAUAGUGCAGGGAUACAGGCGACCCCCUCUAUCUGGUAAAUGACGUCAUAAAGGCGCGUAUAAUUGACGAGUUUUUUCCGGUGACGGAUGAACUCGAAAGUGGUCUAUUGUACCAAACAGAUUCAUAUCAGCUUAUGACGGACAGUUACAAAUCUACAAUGCAAGGAUUGUAGAUCAGAGUGCUGUCGCAAAAUCUCAUACAUGCACAUGUAGGUGAUAACCAUGCUUUACAGUGAUACAACUAACACCAGUAUAUUUAUAAGCAAAUUCCUCUUUAUUGUUUUUUGUGUAUUUUAUCACACUUAGUCAAUAGAAACACAUUUUAAUGAUCUCUAGAGGUUACUUCUUAUGUUAUAUCAAAUGGUAUGCAAACCCAAACAAACUUUUAGAUUGUUAUUUACACAGACAAAGACAACUUAGCUGACAUCAUGCCGGGAACUUUCCCAGUGGCCAGUAAAAUUCUACAUAAAUAUGAACAAGACAGAGCUUACAGAUUACACAGACAGAAAGUA